GGUCCAUUGGAGCAGUGGUUUCUCUCGCCUCCCUGUCCCGGAGGAGAUCAUGGGUUCAAAUCCCAUAUGGACCG
rnacentral:tRNA from 1 species